rnacentral:rRNA from 1 species
UACGGGGGGGUCCAAGCGUUGUUCGGAAUCACUGGGCGUAAAGAGCUCGUAGGCGGUCUGUUACGUCGGCUGUGAAAACCUGGGGCUCAACCCCGGGCCUGCAGCCGAUACGGGCAGACUAGAAUUCGGUAGGGGAGACUGGAAUUCCUGGUGUAGCGGUGAAAUGCGCAGAUAUCAGGAGGAACACCGGUGGCGAAGGCGGGUCUCUGGGCCGAUAUUGACGCUGAGGAGCGAAAGCGUGGGGAGCGAACAGG